AGUUUACAGUUAUAAAAUAAAUAGUCUGUCUGAAUGUUAACUGUAUUGUCCGUCGCAAAUCGUUCUUUUCGUUUUUAUAUUUUGAUACGGCUGCUAGCUAUUUUCUUGUGCUCGCAGUUCUGCUGCCUUCGUUUUCACUGAAAAUAACAAAAUUUAUAUAAAUCUACAGAGAAUUAUUCGAACUAAGAUAUAGUUGUUAGUUUAAAAUAUUUCUUAUUAUCAUUAAUUAUUUUUCCACUUUCUAUUUAAAUCUUGAAUUUCGAACUAAAGCAAUGGUUGGCACUACAGAAUUUCCGUUGAUUCCUAAAAUUAUUAACGGUGGCAUUGCUGGUAUAAUUGGCGUGACAUGUGUUUUCCCCAUUGAUUUAGUGAAAACGAGGCUGCAGAACCAGCAAGUUGGACCACAAGGACAAAAAAUGUAUUCUUCUAUGUUGGACUGUUUCCGUAAAACUUAUUCUAGAGAAGGCUUUGUUGGCAUGUACAGAGGGUCUGCAGUUAAUAUUCUCCUCAUCACUCCUGAAAAAGCCAUAAAACUUGCAGCUAACGAUUUCUUCAGACAUACGUUAUCAUCUGGAUCUGGUAAAUUGCCGUUGCAAAGAGAGAUGCUUGCUGGUGGAUUAGCUGGUUUUUGUCAAAUAAUUGUUACAACUCCCAUGGAACUGUUAAAAAUACAACUUCAAGAUGCGGGGAGAGUUGCUUCUAAAGGUGCAGCUGAAAGUGGAACCGUUGCUGCAACUUCUGCAACCUCCAUUGCCCUGCAACUAAUCAGGACAAGAGGUAUUGCUGGCUUGUACAAAGGAACUGCUGCUACAAUGCUAAGAGAUGUUACUUUUUCAAUGGUAUAUUUCCCUCUGUUUGCACAUCUAAAUGCUCUGGGGCCUCGGAAAAAAGAUGGCAGUGGCGAGGCAGUGUUUUGGACAUCAUUUUUAGCUGGUUGUGGAGCUGGCUCUACAGCAGCCUUUACUGUUAAUCCAUUUGAUGUGAUUAAGACUAGAUUGCAACUACUCAAAAAAGCUAGUGGAGAGAUGACUUACUCAGGGAUUCCAGAUGCAUUUGGAAAAAUUCUCAAAAAUGAAGGACCACAAGCUUUCUUUAAAGGGGCAGGCUGUAGGAUGAUUGUAAUUGCACCUUUAUUUGGAAUCGCACAAACUGUUUAUUAUUUAGGUGUAGCUGAAUAUUUGCUGGGUAAAAAGCGAAGUCAUAUGUACUGAUUUUUGCAUAUUUUCUUGCUCCCCAUCCUUUGCAUGCAGUGAUGAGUCUGAAAACUAAUGAUUUGCAAAAGAGGCAAAGUCACUGGAAUUGUCCCCAUUAUCAAGCGUUUACUGUGAUGCACAUGAUUUAAAGUUUUUAGACCAAGAAAAGGAAGACCUAAAUUAUUUACCAGAUAACAGUUCAUUUAUAGUACAAAAAUAAGUUACAGUGCUGCUAAUAUUAUAUAAAAGCUUGUACAUUUGCAGAAAAUGGUUACUGUGUUCUUGUAUCACUAUUAUCUGUCCACUAUGGCACUUUUUAGCGAGUCCAUAAUGCAUAAUAUUCUUUUAAAAAAACUUUUUGAAUUGAUGUAUUAAUUUAUUUUAUUGCUGUUUUUUAAUAAACGUUACAUUAAAUGUAUUACUUAAAUAUAUCUCUUGAUGGUUAUAUGUUUUAGUAUACAAGAUCUGUUACAAUGUGUUGAUAUUCUUUAUGGUGUGUGUUAAGACAUAAUUAAUAUGGUAUUACUUCUAUCUCAUCAUUUGCAACCUAUGUACUGCCAUCAAUGAAUGAAAUGCCGAUAUUCUAUAGAAGGCCUAGUGACUGGGAUUUUCAGACAAUUUAUGAACUGUAAGAAUUAUAUACCUUGCCUUGUCAUUUUAUGGAAUGCCUGCAGGUUUGUCAUUAGUCAUUAUAUACAAUGAUUAGGCAGUGUGGGAAAUUUCUAAUAAUUUCAUACUUUGUCUUUUUUAGGCACUCUUGAUAAUGAUUAAUCAUUUUAUUGUAUGCCGAAUUUCAUAUAUUGACAGUUAUGUUAUAAUAAAACUAUUUCGGUUCAUGAAAAUUGGUUACAUUAUUAAAACAAAACUGAUUUAAGUUCCUAUGACUCUAAAUGAUGAGUAUGAAGUAAUUCACUAAAAUUUGUAAUCCUCAUCAUUAUUUCCAACUUCUUAAAUUGUAAUAAUUUAAUAUCUAUUUUAAAUUGUUGCAACAGUAAACCUUUUUGUUGAUUUAUUCGAUUCAAAACUUAGAAACAUUGUUUCUAAGAAGCAAAUUGACUUGCGUCUCAUAUGCUGUAAAUUAAACAUAGAAAAGCUUCAGAACAGAAUUUAUAUAUUUAGAUGUCUUUAAAUAUUGUAACUGUGCAUAGUAAAAAUGCAUAAUUUAAUAAUACUAAAAAAUUCAGUACAAGGUACAGAAUUGAAAUUUUAUUCAAAAAUAAUGUUUAAUUCCAAAAUUAUAGUUGUUUUACUCUUUAAUUUGAACUCAUAAAGACAUAGUAUGAUUUUAUAUAUAUUAUUUUUUAAUCUGGAAGUAUGUAAAAUUUGAAUCUGCUUUACCACACCAUUUAUAAGAUUUGAUUAGCAGUCUGUAUGAAUUGUGUAAAUGAUCGAGCUUUUAAUCAUGCAGAGUUAAUCAAAUCAUUGUAUUUAUAUUAUACAGUGCGUUCUUUUAAGAUACAAAGCUGUGUAUGCUGUGAUUAAUGUAAAUUUUAUUUAGAUAUGAGAACAUUUUAAUACUGAGUAUUUCAUUUUUCUGCAUUUAUAAAAUAACCAUUUUACUAAGGUUAAUUUUAUUUUACAUAUUUUUUUACUCCUUUUCAUUUUUAUUGUUCAUUGCAUGUUUAACUUUAUUGAAGGAGUUAAUGUUGACUUUUGUGUUUGCAUUAGUUGAAACAAAUUUUUUUCUUUCUUUUAGUUUUAUUAAAUCUUGUGAAAAUAAGCUUAUCUAGUCUUUCUAUAAAUAUUGAAAUUAUAUUUACAUUGAAAUUUUAUUGAACAUUUUAUGGUGCAUGGAAUUUUAUGAAGGUUUAUUAAAAUUGUCAAUUUAUAUAUGUUACAUUAUGGGGGGAUUUUAUUGCUUUUUGUAUAAUAUAAUUUAUUUCAUAUAUUAAUAUUGUAUUCGAGCAAUCUUUCGUAUGAAAUCUUUUUUUAAAUUAUAGUUAGUGUUAAAUCACUAACUGCAAUAUUAAAAAAAAUUACAGAAUAUUAAUUUAUUGUAGACUGAAUUAAUAAAAAAAUUAAAUAAGUUCAGUACAAUAUUUACUUACAUUUAUUUAAUUUUUUUUGUUAAGUCUUUUGUUGUUGCAGGAAUAAGAUUAAACACUUUAAUGGUACAAAAAUCUACUUCACCUUUUUUAAAAAAAUUUUCUUUCUAUUUUGUUUUAAAGGGCCAUUUAAAUGUUAAUAGACAUAUUUUGGGAGAUGAGCAACUUUUUCACUUCAGUAAGUAAAUAGCUUACUCCUUUCCUUAGAUGUUUGCAUAAUAAUUGAAAGGUCCCUAAUAUCGUUUCAUUUUAACUACACAAUGUUAUUUAAUAACUUGUUUACUAUCAUUGUAAUCUUAUUUAAUAUAAAUGUUUUAACUAUUUUUUAAAAGGGAAAAUAAUAGUUUGAAGAACUAUGAUAUUUAUAAAGUUUAUAUAUGGUUAUUCUUUUUAAUAAUAAAUUUUCAAACUUUAUACGACAGUGAAUGAAAGAAUAAUUUGAAUGCUUGGACAUUCCAUUAGUUAUCUAGCCCUUUUGUGUAUAUGAUUAUUUUGUAAAAAGUUUCAUGAAUUUAUUGAAAUGUGUGAAUUCUAAACAUUAACUGCAGUUUAUUAAAAAUGGUUUUGGUAGAAACAGUGAUAAAGAAGAAACAUGUUAUGAGUAAUUUAAUCAAAAUGUAGAUUUUUAAUAAGCCAUUGUAAAGUUGAGCUGCUACAAUUGACUAUGAUGUGUAGCUAAGUAAAUAAAUAUAUAUGUCUUCACUCGCAAAGGGAGUAAUGAAUGUUUAGCCAUUUUUAAAUGUGAUAAAAUAAAGAGCCAAAAGUGUUCUUAUUGUUAUGUCAAAAUUAUUGUAUAACUGUUUUAAGACUAGUUGAAAUAAAAUUUAAAUCUUA